GACGUAGGGCGCGAGCGUUGUCCGGAAUCAUUGGGCGUAAAGAGCGUGUAGGCGGCUAUUUAAGUCCUGCGUGAAAUCCUGCGGCUCAACCGCAGACGGUCGUGGGAAACUGGAUGGCUAGAGUGCGGGAGAGGAGAGUGGAAUUCCCGGUGUAGCGGUGAAAUGCGUAGAUAUCAGGAGGAACACCGAUGGCGAAGGCAGCUCGCUGGAACGGUACUGACGCUGAGGCGCGAAAGCGUGGGGAGCGAACAGG
rnacentral:rRNA from 1 species